CCCUUAGAUGUCCUGGGCCGCACGCGCGCUACACUGAGUGUCUGAGAUACGAGUCUGCCUGGUCCGGCAAGGUCUAGGUAAUCGCUAAAAGACACAUCAUGCUUGGGAUAGAUUAUUGCAAAUAUUAAUCUUGAACGAGGAAUUCCUAGUAAGCGCAAGUCAACAGCUUGCGUUGAUUACGUCCCUGCCCUUUGUACACACCGCCCGUCGCUCCUACCGAUGGAACGAUCCGGUGAAAACUCUGGAUUGGAGGGUUUGGUUGUUGCUUUGCAACACUACCCUUCGAGAAAUUGUUUGAAUCUUAUCGUUUAGAGGAAGGAGAAGUCGUAACA
rnacentral:rRNA from 1 species